UACGGAGGGAGCUAGCGUUGUUCGGAAUUACUGGGCGUAAAGCGCACGUAGGCGGUUCGUUAUGUCAGAUGUGAAAGCCCUUGGCUCAACUGAGGAAGUGCAUCUGAAACUGGCGAGCUAGAGUACGUAAGAGGGUCGCGGAAUUCCCGGUGUAGAGGUGAAAUUCGUAGAUAUCGGGAGGAACACCGGUGGCGAAGGCGGCGACCUGGGACGAUACUGACGCUGAGGUGCGAAAGCGUGGGGAGCAAACAGG
rnacentral:rRNA from 1 species